GGAUCUAGGCUUUCUAAUUAAACAUGCUUUGAAUCCAAGACUUUUAAUAACUAAUUAGGUAUAAGAACAAUAUAAAAUCAGAUCUAGAAGUUUACCUUUGAAUCUCUUGUUUGAUCUUGUUGUCUUGGAGCUCUAGAGUCACAAUUGUCACUCCUCUAAUGGCUUACAAACACCAACUAGUAAGGAGGAUGAUUUGAGAGAGAGGUUGGGAGGAAAUCGGCCAGAGGUACUCUACUUUAGAUGAGAUGCCGAUUUCCCUUGCUCAUGGGGUCUAUUAAUACUUGUAGACUCCUUAAGGGUUUCACCUUAAACCCUAGUUGGAUAAUCUUUCCUUAAAGCAAUCCAAAUCUUUACCAUAGAUAAGCUUUGGACGAUUUUGAGCUAUCCUAAGCCCUAGAAUUCGUCCAUCCCUUAUCCCUUAAGGAUUUACAGUCUAAAGUGUAACUAUCAAACAAUUGACAGUUUAUACACUCUUAUUUAAUUAAUCUCUUUAAGUCACCAAAUUAAUACUAAUUAAUUUAUGACUUAUAUUAAUCAAAUAACAAUAUUAUUAUUCCUUAUAUUAUUCUCAUAAUAUAUAAUUAAUAUUUAUUCUCUCAUAAUAAAUCAUCCUAUCAAGUUGCUAUGGUGAAGGCAACCCAAAAGGACCAUGCACAAUCGGGUCAAAUACUUGCCUAAUAUAGUUGCAGCCUUAGACACUAUUCCAACAGUCUCCCACUUGGAUAAGUCUAGUAACUAUAUGAACAAGUACAAUUCGAUUUGCAAUCGUAGCUCUCAAAGACGCUGUCAAACUCUGAUCUAAUCAAUCUUGUCCUUUAGAUAAGGGAUCGUACAGUCCUCUGUUAGAUAUCAUGCUGACAAUUCUAUGGAAUGAUUAGUCAAGCAUUUAGGUUUCUCGAUCUCUGAUUUAUUUGACAUAGAACUUAAUCGAACACAUCAAUUCAGUUCUGACCGGGCCCGGCACAUAAGUCAAAUCAAAUCAUCGAGCGGCCGAGAUAUCGCUUUUACCCUCUUGGGAUAAAAGUUACAGAUAAACUUCGACUUAUAUGCAUUUACUUAUUCAUUAACCAACUAUACACAACAAUGCAUUUUAUAACACCGAGUUACUGAUGCGUUUUCGCAUUAUCAAUGUACAAUCAAUUAACAAAUAACAAACCAUAUAUCUAGGUUUUAAGACUAUAUGAUAUUAUCGUCUUGCGAUCACCCUUUUAUAUCAUAUUCCAUAAGGUGAUUCCAGCAAGCGCGGGUUUGUUCCAAUGCUCAAAACUAGUUCAUAAGCACUCAUGAACGUUGCAGCAACCCUUUGCUAUGUCUAACACCAUUUAGACAAUCUACACACCAAUUCAUGACAAUCUUCAUUCAUAUCUACUUCCAACAUAUGAACGAUUGUGGACAAUUUGAAUAAUUCGAUUAUUCUUAAUAAACUCAAUUAUUCUGGAAGUCAAAACAUGCAAAGUGAAACAAUAGUUAAACAAUUAACAUAAGACAGUAACAUUACUCAUAAAUAAAACUCCUUUAUUUAAUCAUCAAAUGUUAAUUACAUUUAUCUAUUACACGUUUCUAAUACUAUCUAAUCUAUGCUAAUAUCAUCCUUCAGCCCAAUACUCCUAGCAUGCUGCAAGUGCUUAACCCUACUCAGUCCCUUCGUAAGCGGAUCUGCUGGGUUAUCUUCUGAUGAUAUCCUCUUCACUACGAGUUGUCCUUCUUCUACACGAUGUCUAAUGAAGUGAUAUUUUCUGUCGAUAUGUCUUGAUCUACCAUGAUCCCUCGGUUCCUUGGUCAAGGCAACCGCUCCUUCGUUAUCACAGAAAAUCUCCAUGGGCUCCUUUAUGGCAGGUACAACUCCAAGAUCACCGAUGAAGUUCUUUAGCCAUAUUGCCUCCUUCGACGCUUCGCUCGCUGCAAUGUACUCUGAUUCGCACGUUGAAUCAGCUACGGUUUCCUGCUUGGAACUCUUCCAUGUCACUGCUCCUCCAUUUAGGGUAAAGACCCAGCCCGACUGCGAACGGUAGUUGUCCCUGUCGGUCUGAAAACUGGCGUCACUAUACCCUCGCACCUUCAAGUCAUCACUCCCUCCGAGGACUAAGAACCAUUCCUUCGUCCUCCGAAGGUACUUAAGGAUAUUCUUCACCGCAAUCCAAUGUGCUCUGCCAGGAUUCCCUUGAUAUCUGCUAACCAUGCUCAAAGCGAAGGCUACAUCAGGGCGAGUACAAGUCAUAGCGUACAUGAUUGAGCCAACUGCGGAAGCGUAUGGUACUCGGCUCAUUUCUGCUAUCUCAGCUUCGGUACUCGGACUUUGAGUCUUACUCAAUUUGGCAUUACUUUGUAUCGGUAGUUCUCCCUUCUUUGAGUUUUCCAUACUAAAACGUUUUAGUACCUUCUCUAAGUAAGUAUUCUGACUAAGUCCAAUUAGUCUCUUACUUCUUUCUCUUACUAUCCUUAUUCCCAAAAUGUAAGAAGCCUCUCCGAGGUCCUUCAUAGCGAAGCACUUCCCGAGCCAGGACUUAACCUCCUACAGAGUCGGGAUGUCAUUUCCUAUGAGUAAUAUGUCAUCGACAUAUAGAACGAGGAAGCUUACUAUACUCCCACUGGCUUUGACAUAUACACAAGAUUCGUCUUCGCUUCGUACAAAUCCAAACUCUUUGACUUUCUCAUCGAAGCAAAGAUUCCAUCUGCGAGACGCUUGCUUAAGUCCAUAAAUGGACUUCUCAAGCUUACACACUCUAUUCGGAUGCUUCGGAUCCACAAACCCCUCUGGCUGAGCCAUGUAAACAUCCUCAGCCAACUUUCCGUUAAGGAAAGCGGUCUUGACAUCCAUUUGCCAAAUCUCAUAAUCAUGAAAUGCGGCAAUUGCUAGCAUCACUCUAAUAGAUUUAAUCUUCGCAACUGGUGAGAAGGUCUCAUCAUAGUCAACUCCGGGAGUUUGAGUAAAGCCCUUCGCAACCAAUCGCGCUUUAUAUGUGUGUACGUUUCCAUCCACGUCGGUCUUCUUCUUGAAGAUCCAUUUGCACCCAACGGUCUUACGUCCGGGCACAUAAUCAACCAAAUUCCAAACUUGGUUAUCAUACAUGGAUUGGAUCUCGCUAUCCAUUGCCUCUUUCCAUUUUGCAGACUCCGGGCCUGCCAUGGCUUCCUUAUAGCUAUUAGGUUCAUCAAGAUUUAUUAGUGUACCAUCACUAAUAUACGUGUCCCCUUCGGUAGUAAUAUGAAAACCAUAAAACUGGGGUUGAACUCUAACUCUAUCGGAACGUCUAAGAGGUAAGGAUUCGUCAAUCGGUUCAACCGGAGUUUCCUCCUCGGGUUGAGUGCCAGCGGUAGAGGUUCCUUCAUCUAUCGACUCUUGAAUCUCUUCAAGCUCGAUUUGCCUCCCACUGUCUCCUUGGCUUAUGAGUUCUCGCUCUCGGAAAACUCCUCUCCUCGCAACGAAGACAACAUUGUCCUUCGGUCUAUAGAAGAGAUAUCCAAAGGAUGUCUGCGGGUAGCCGAUGAAAAUACAUCGCUCACUUCGAGGUUCAAGCUUGUCGUGAGUAUCUCGUCUUACGAAAGCCUCGCAACCCCAAACCUUGAUAUGUGCCAACGAGGGAGCUUUCCCUGUCCACAUCUCGUGAGGUGUUUUGGCAACCUUCUUAGUAGGGACUCGGUUAAGGAUAUGGGCGGCAGUCUCUAAGGCAUACCCCCAAAAAGAGAUAGGUAGUGAAGCACGACUCAUCAUAGAGCGAACCAUAUCCAAUAAGGUUCGAUUACGCCUUUCUGCCACACCAUUCAACUGCGGUGUCCUAGGAGGCGUCAAUUGCGAAACUAUUCCACACUCCUUGAGAUAAUCGUGGAAUUCAAGACUUAGGUACUCUCCUCCUCGAUCGGAUCGAAGCAUCUUGAUUUUCCUGCCCAAUUGAUUCUCCACUUCAUUCUUGAACUCUUUGAACUUUUCAAAGGUGUCUGACUUUUGCUUGAUUAAGUAGAUAUACCCAUAUCUACUAUAGUCAUCGGUAAAAGUCACAUAGAAGCGGUUCCCAUCCUUCGUGGUUGAUCUAAACGGUCCACAUACAUCGGUAUGUAUUAGGUCCAAUAGACCCUCGCCCCUUUCACAUGUACUCGUGAAGGGUGACUUAGUCAUCUUUCCAAGCAAACAAGACUCGCAUGUGUCAUCUUCCCUAAGGUCGAAUGACUCCAACACUCCAUCCUUUUGGAGUUGGGCUAUGCGUUUCUUGUUGACAUGUCCAAGACGACAAUGCCACAAGGAUGCUUUAUCCAUACUAGUGGAAGAAUCAAUAUUCAAAACAUCAUUUCCUAAGUUAUCAAAAAUCAUAACAGUUUCAUAUAUUCCAUUACAUGGUACAGCUUCAAAAUAAAAGACACCAUUUAGAUAAGCCAAAAUAGAACCAUUCUCGUUAUUACAAGAAAAUAUAAAACCUUGUCUAAACAAGCCAUGAAAUGAAAUGACGUUUCUAGCCAUUUCUGGCGAAUAGCAACAAUUGUUCAAAUCUAAAACCAAACUAUUCCUAAGCACUAAAGAAUACACUCCAAUCUUGGUCACAGGCGACGAUCUUCUGUUCCCCAUGAUUAGAUUGAUCCUUCCUUGCUCCACAUCCCUACUUCUUCUUAGUCCCUGCACAUUAGAACAAAUGUGAUAACCACAACCGGUAUCAAGAACCCAAGAAAUAGCAUGAUUAGAAUCGUUAGAUUUGAUUGUAUAUAUACCUGCGAAAGAUGGCUUGAUCUUUCCUUCUUUGAUUGCUUGCAGGUAAUCCGGGCAGCUUCUCUUCCAAUGUCCUAUCUUGUGGCAGUGGUGGCACUCUGCCUCCUUCGGGUUAGAGCAGGGCUUGGCGGGAUCAACUUUGGUCCCACUAGAAGAGGCACCAUCUCGGGCUUUCACCUUGCGAUAGUUCUUCGAUGAAGCUUUCCUCUUCUUUCCCUUCCCUUGACCAAUAGCCAAGACAGGAGCAGCGGGCGGAUUGGGAGUAGGUGCAACAGACUUGUCCUUGAAGUUGCUCUCAGCGACCCUCAAGAGACCUUGGAGUUUGCUUAGGGUGACCUCCUCUUUGUUCAUGUGGUAGGUCAUCCUAAAUUGAUUGUACAUCGGAGGCAAAGAGUGAAGCACCAUGUCGAUCGCCAAGUCUUCCCCGAAGUCAACAUUUAACUUGCGAAGGCGGUCGACAUACCUUUGCAUCUUUUGCAAGUGCACGGUAAGAGAUUCUCCAUGACCCAUCUUCGCGGAAAUCAUGUUAGUGAAAAUCUCAUACCUCUCUUGUCUCGCGUUUUGGUGGUACCUCUCCAAUAAGUCUUGGUGCAUCUCGUACGGGUACAUGUCCUCGUAGGACUUUUGGAAUUCGGAGUUCAUGGUGGCGAUCAUGAUGCAAUGUACCUUCGUUGCAUCUCGCUCAUGAGUUUCAAAGGCGGUGAUUUCGGCGGGAGUAGCAAUUUCGGGGUUGAUUUUCUCGAGCUUCUCAUCGAGGACAUACUCCUUAUCCUCAUAGCGAGCAAUGGUGCGAAUGUAUCUUAUCCAUUCGCUAAAGUUCGUUCCAUCGAAGGUGACCUUUUGGCAAAGGCUCAUCAACGUGAAAGAACUAGCAGCAGCGUUGUUUGCGUUCGACAUCUACAAUUAGAAAAGGACAAAGAUAGAUUAGAAUAAGAAUCCCUAAUUAUCACCCAAUAAGAAAAUUAGGGCUAGGAUCCAACAAUAACAUUUACAUACUAGAAAAGGGAUGCCGUAAUCUAACAUGCAAAUAAAUUGAAGGUAAGUGAAUGACGAUUCACUAAUUCUCCAUCACAAAACUUAAACUAUUAGUCCUAAGUGUUUUUGAGAAUUCCUAGGUUCGGAUGAGAUUCAUUGAAACUAUUCAAUGGCAUGUUUAAAUCUCGAUAUGCCCCUCUUGUUUGUGACUGGGAUGCCGAGGAUCACAAAGCGGGUGUGAAUUACCAUGCAAAUUCACAUGGUGCCUUCAUUGUAACGAUCACCUAUUCGAUGUGCCGGUAAACCACACACGCUCCAUCGAACUAUGAUAAACAAUGAAUCACCCUUUGCCACCUUCGCUUAGAACCAAUUAGUGUGCCGGUAAACCACACACGCUCCACUAACAUCUUAGCAAGGUGCAAAGUGUAAUUUCAUGGGAUUGCAUCAAUUCACUUUUCCUAAAGUAACUAGGAUUGGGAAAUUUUAAAAAAAUGUGUAGUUACUUUAUAUUUCUUAUUAUACUUUUAAUGAGAGGAUGAGGUUGCCCUAUCCUACCCGUUCGGCUAACGACCCUCCACCAAUCAAGCAAGCGGUGGGUGUGAGUGUACACCCAUUAAGCGCCAUUUUAUAGGCCGCAACCUUAUACCCACCUUAUAGAUCGGCUUCGUGAAUGAGGCCUACUAACGGUAAGACUAGCAUUUAGUUAUACAUAUAUAUAUUAUUCUAGUAAUAUCAUAUUAGUAUAGGGUUGUAUUUUAAAACUUUUAAAAUCUAGGGUUUGAAAUUUAAGUUGUCUAAAUUAAAACUUUUAAUCACAAAAGUAAAUUUCAAAACAUGAGGGUAGGUUUUAAACAUUUAAAACAUGGAGGAUCAAAUAACAAAUAAUUCCAAUUAACAAUUAAUAUCCUAAUUAUCUAUAUUUGAUUUAUUCAAGAUUUCUUUUAAAGAUAAUUACCAAAAUAAUCAAAAUAAUUAAUUAAUUAUCAUAUAAGGAAAUUAAAUAUUUAAUUAGUUGAUAAUUACCUUUAACUAGAUCAAGAUAAUAGUUAUAUUUAUCAGAAAAACGAAUUAAUGUUGAUCUAAUUAGUUUAUGGUAAGUUAAGAUAAGAUAAACACAAAGAAAUCCCGAAUCUGGCCAUUCCUGACGCCUGGACUCGCCGAGUGCACAAAUGGACUCGCCGAGUCAGGCCUACUCGCCGAGUCCACUUUGAGACUCGCCGAGUCCAUGACUCAGAAACCAAAAAUUCGAAUUUUGCAGGUUUGUUUCAGUUAAUCAAGCAACAAUUUACAGAAAACCAAGCUAGGCUCUGAUACCACUGAUGGGUUUUAGCCAUAAGAACUUUCCUAUGUGCGCAUGCAAAACCCUAAUGCUUGGAUCUAGGCUUUCUAAUUAAACAUGCUUUGAAUCCAAGACUUCUAAUAACUAAUUAGGUAUAAGAACAAUACAAAAUCAGAUCUAGAAGUUUACCUUUGAAUCUCUUGUUUGAUCUUGUUGUCUUGGAGCUCUAGAGUCACAAUUGUCACUCCUCUAAUGGCUUACAAACACCAACUAGUAAGGAGGAUGAUUUGAGAGAGAGGUUGGGAGGAAAUCGGCCAGAGGUACUCUACUUUAGAUGAAAUGCCGAUUUCCCUUGGUCAUGGGGUCUAUUAAUACUUGUAGACUCCUUAAGGGUUUCACCUUAAACCCUAGUUGGAUAAUCUUUCCUUAAAGCAAUCCAAAUCUUUACC
rnacentral:lncRNA from 1 species